rnacentral:rRNA from 1 species
GACUUCUGGUUUAAUGCACCUGGUUAGGCUUGUGAGUGCCGGCGCGCGUUUACCAUCCUUCUGGGAACGGGUCUACCCUUAACUGGGCUGGAUUCGGGAUCCAGAUCAUUUACUUUGAAAAAAUUAGAGUGUUUAAAGCAGGCUAUUGCUAUGAAUACAUUAGCAUGGAAAAGAAGCGAGGACUUCGGUUCUAUUUUGUUGGUUUCUUUAACUGAAGUAAUGAUAGUUGGGGGUGCUAGUAUUGGCCGGUCAGAGGUGAAAUUCUUGGAUUCGGUCAAGACUAACUUAUGCGAAAGCAUU